rnacentral:rRNA from 1 species
AUACGAAGGGGGCUAGCGUUGUUCGGAAUUACUGGGCGUAAAGCGCGCGUAGGCGGACUGAUCAGUUGGGGGUGAAAUCCCAGGGCUUAACCCUGGAACUGCCUCCAAUACUGUCAGUCUUGAGUUCGGGAGAGGUGAGUGGAAUUCCCAGUGUAGAGGUGAAAUUCGUAGAUAUUAGGAAGAACACCAGUGGCGAAGGCGGCUCACUGGCCCGAUACUGACGCUGAGGCGCGAAAGCGUGGGGAGCAAACAGGAUUAGAAACCCUAGUAGUCC